AUUGAACGCUGGCGGCAUGCCUUACACAUGCAAGUCGAACGGUAACAGGUCUUCGGAUGCUGACGAGUGGCGAACGGGUGAGUAAUACAUCGGAACGUGCCCGAGAGUGGGGGAUAACGAGGCGAAAGCUUUGCUAAUACCGCAUACGAUCUCAGGAUGAAAGCAGGGGAUCGCAAGGCCUUGCGCUCACGGAGCGGCCGAUGGCAGAUUAGGUAGUUGGUGGGAUAAAAGCUUACCAAGCCGACGAUCUGUAGCUGGUCUGAGAGGACGACCAGCCACACUGGGACUGAGACACGGCCCAGACUCCUACGGGAGGCAGCAGUGGGGAAUUUUGGACAAUGGGCGCAAGCCUGAUCCAGCCAUGCCGCGUGCAGAAUGAAGGCCUUCGGGUUGUAAACUGCUUUUGUACGGAACGAAAAGACUCCUUCUAAUAAAGGGGGUCCAUGACGGUACCGUAAGAAUAAGCACCGGCUAACUACGUGCCAGCCGCCGCGGUAAUAC
rnacentral:rRNA from 1 species